GCGGUCGCAGCUACCAUGCAGUCGAGGGGUAACAUAGGAAAGCUUGCUUUUCUGAUGACGACCGGCGCACGGGUGCGUAACGCGUAUACAACCUACCUUUUAGCGGGGAAUAGCCCAGGGAAACUUGGAUUAAUGCCUCAUAGUAUAUAAACUUCUCCUGAAGUUUAUAUUAAACAUUUAUGGCUAUUAGAUGGGUAUGCGUCCUAUUAGUUAGUUGGUAAGGUAACGGCUUACCAAGGCAGCGAUAGGUAGGGGUCCUGAGAGGGAGAUCCCCCACACUGGUACUGAGACACGGACCAGACUCCUACGGGAGGCAGCAGUGAGGAAUAUUGGACAAUGGGCGAGAGCCUGAUCCAGCCAUGCCGCGUGCAGGAAGACUGCCCUAUGGGUUGUAAACUGCUUUUACAGAGGAAGAACCACCCCCACGUGUGGGGGUUUGACGGUACUCUGCGAAUAAGGAUCGGCUAACUCCGUGCCAGCAGCCGCGGUAAUACGGAGGAUCCAAGCGUUAUCCGGAAUCAUUGGGUUUAAAGGGUCCGUAGGCGGGCAGUUAAGUCAGUGGUGAAAGUCUUCCGCUCAACGGGAGAACUGCCAUUGAUACUGAUUGUCUUGAGUUAUUAUGAAGUGGUUAGAAUGAGUAGUGUAGCGGUGAAAUGCAUAGAUAUUACUCAGAAUACCGAUUGCGAAGGCAGAUCACUAAUAAUAUACUGACGCUGAUGGACGAAAGCGUAGGUAGCGAACAGGAUUAGAUACCCUGGUAGUCUACGCCGUAAACGAUGGUUACUAGCUGUUCGGCCCAAUUGAGGGCUGAGUGGUUAAGCGAAAGUGAUAAGUAACCCACCUGGGGAGUACGUUCGCAAGAAUGAAACUCAAAGGAAUUGACGGGGGCCCGCACAAGCGGUGGAGCAUGUGGUUUAAUUCGAUGAUACGCGAGGAACCUUACCAGGGCUUAAAUGUAGUCUGACAGGUCUGGAAACAGACUUUUCUUCGGACAGAUUACAAGGUGCUGCAUGGAUGUCGUCAGCUCGUGCCGUGAGGUGUCAGGUUAAGUCCUAUACGAGCGCAACCCCUGUGGUUAGUUGCCAGCGAGUAAUGUCGGGAACUCUAGCCAGACUGCGGUGCAACGCGAGGAUGGUGGGGAAUGACGUCAAAUCAUCACGACCUUACGUUCUUGGGCACACACGUGCUACAUGUACAACCGAAAGCAGCCACUCGCGAGCAGACGAAUCUACGACCGUAUCCAGUUCGUAUCGCUAGUUGCACUCGACUGCAGCAGCCG
rnacentral:rRNA from 1 species